rnacentral:rRNA from 1 species
GGCGGACGGGUGAGUAACGCGUAAAGAACUUGCCCUUUAGACUGGGAUAACAGAGGGAAACUUCUGAUAAUACUGGAUAAGUUAGUAUAUCGCAUGAUAUACAAAUGAAAGCUACGGCACUAAAGGAGAGCUUUGCGUCCUAUUAGCUAGUUGGUAAGGUAAGAGCUUACCAAGGCGAUGAUAGGUAGCCGGCCUGAGAGGGUGGACGGCCACAAGGGGACUGAGAUACGGCCCUUACUCCUACGGGAGGCAGCAGAC